UACGGAGGGAGCUAGCGUUGUUCGGAAUUACUGGGCGUAAAGCGCACGUAGGCGGCUUUGUAAGUUAGAGGUGAAAGCCUGGGGCUCAACUCCAGAACUGCCUUUAAAACUGCAUCGCUUGAACCCAGGAGAGGUGAGUGGAAUUCCGAGUGUAGAGGUGAAAUUCGUAGAUAUUCGGAAGAACACCAGUGGCGAAGGCGGCUCACUGGACUGGUAUUGACGCUGAGGUGCGAAAGCGUGGGGAGCAAACAGG
rnacentral:rRNA from 1 species